rnacentral:rRNA from 1 species
CCUACGGGAGGCAGCAGUGAGGAAUAUUGGUCAAUGGGCGCGAGCCUGAACCAGCCAAGUAGCGUGAAGGAUGACUGCCCUACGGGUUGUAAACUUCUUUUAUAAAGGAAUAAAGUGAGGCACGUGUGCCUUUUUGUAUGUACUUUAUGAAUAAGGAUCGGAUAACUCCGUGCCAGCAGCCGCGGUACUACGGAGGAUCCGAGCGUUAUCCGGAUUUAUUGGGUUUAAAGGGUGCGUAGGGGGACUGUUAAGUCAGCGGUAAAAUCCCGGGGCUCAACCCCGGCGAGCCGUUGAAACUGGCGGUCGUGAGAUGUCGAGAGGUAUGCGGAAUGCGCAGUGUAGCGGUGAAAUGCUUAGAGAUUGCGCAGAACUCCGAUUGCGAAGGCAGCAUACCGGCGGCGAUCUGACGCUGAGGCACGAAAGCGUGGGUAUCGAACAGGAUUAGAUACCCUGGUAGUC